rnacentral:rRNA from 1 species
AUGCCUCCAGGAAGGGUGAUGGCCCCAGCUCCAGGACAAGAAAAGAGGAUCCUGGAACCUGAUGAACCUUCCCUUAAUAGAGUCACAAGGCAGAAAGUAAGGAUGGCGACUGCGACGGACCAUCAGGAAAGUAUGCUGCUCAUGGACUCUCAGACCUCGGUGCAAACGGGUGAUGAGUUGUCGCCCAUGGAUGAAGAUGCAAUGACUCCCAAGACUAGACUUAGAAAGGGCAGAGGGCUAGAGAGGAUCACCAAGUCGCUUGGUAGCAAGGUGCCUAUCCAAAUUGCCGAAGGGAUGAUUCAUCCAGAGAAGCCUCUGCAGGCAGCAAAGCUUGCUUCUGAGUGUGGACUCGUUGCAAAAAGCCAUCUUCCGGUUCUUCCUCACUUCAAGCUAUAUAAAAAAAAUGCUAGUCUAUUGGAGAACUACAUUGGGAAAGUUGCUGCAAAUUUUGAGAUGAACACGGACUCGGAGACCAUCAAGACCUCGUGCAAAGAUAUUCUACAGAAAUAUUCAAAGAACAGACGCCAUCAGAUGAAGAAGAAGUAUUUUGAUACCGUAGCCGCAAAUAAGGUCAGCAUUAAGUCUCCGGUUCCUGAUCUAGCGGAUGGUGAAUGGCAAGCUCUGGUGGAGAUGUGGUCUACCCCAAGACACAAGGAAACCUAUUUGUCGAACAAGAUGAAUCGACAAAAAGUCGUGUACAAUCAAAGAACUGGUUCCAGGCACUACACAGCACACAUUUUUGCCACUAAAGAAGAGCGUAAGGGUGAGGAGCUGUCUGUGAUUGACUUGUUUAAGGCCACCCACAACAGCAAGAAGCACGGGUUUUCGGAGCCAGUCAAGACUGCUAUAGUAAUUUGA